GCGGAAGUGGCGGAAUUGGUAGACGCACCAGAUUUAGGUUCUGGCGCUGUGAGGUGUGAGAGUUCAAAUCUCUCCUUCCGCA
rnacentral:tRNA from 1 species